UACGUAGGGUGCAAGCGUUGUCCGGGUUUACUGGGCGUAAAGAGCGCGCAGGCGGUCGUUCAAGUCGCGUGUGAAAGCCCCCGGCUCAACUGGGGAGGGUCACGCGAUACUGAUCGACUCGAAGGCAGGAGAGGGUAGUGGAAUUCCCGGUGUAGUGGUGAAAUGCGUAGAUAUCGGGAGGAACACCAGUGGCGAAGGCGACUACCUGGCCUGUUCUUGACGCUGAGGCGCGAAAGCUAGGGGAGCAAACGGG
rnacentral:rRNA from 1 species